rnacentral:rRNA from 1 species
UACAGAGGUCUCAAGCGUUGUUCGGAUUCAUUGGGCGUAAAGGGUGCGUAGGCGGCGCGGUAAGUCGGGUGUGAAAUCUCGGAGCUUAACUCCGAAAUGGCAUUGAAUACUCUACGGCUCGAGGGUCGGAGGGGAGACUGGAAUUCUCGGUGUAGCAGUGAAAUGCGUAGAUAUCGAGAGGAACACCAGUGGCGAAGGCGAGUCUCUGGACGACACCUGACACUGAGGCACGAAAGCUAGGGGAGCAAACAGG